rnacentral:rRNA from 1 species
GACGAACGCUGGCGGCGUGCCUAAUACAUGCAAGUUGAGCGAUGAAGAUUGGUGCUUGCACCAAUUUGAAGAGCAGCGAACGGGUGAGUAACGCGUGGGGAAUCUGCCUUUGAGCGGGGGACAACAUUUGGAAACGAAUGCUAAUACCGCAUAAUAACUUUAAACAUAAGUUUUAAGUUUGAAAGAUGCAAUUGCAUCACUCAAAGAUGAUCCCGCGUUGUAUUAGCUAGUUGGUGAGGUAAAGGCUCACCAAGGCGAUGAUACAUAGCCGACCUGAGAGGGUGAUAGGCCACAUUGGGGCUGAGACACGGCCCAAACUCCUACGGGAGGCAGCAGUAGGGAAUCUUCGGCAAUGGACGAAAGUCUGACCGAGCAACGCCGCGUGAGUGAAGAAGGUUUUCGGAUCGUAAAACUCUGUUGGUAGAGAAGAACGUUGGUGAGAGUGGAAAGCUCAUCAAGUGACGGUAACUACCCAGAAAGGGACGGCUAACUACGUG